UACGUAGGGGGCAAGCGUUGUCCGGAAUCAUUGGGCGUAAAGGGCGCGUAGGCGGCCCUGUAAGUCCGCUGUGAAAGUCAGGGGCUCAACCCUUGAAAGCCGGCCGAUACUGUCGGACUAGAGUCCGGAAGAGGCAAGUGGAAUUCCCGGUGUAGCGGUGAAAUGCGCAGAUAUCGGGAGGAACACCAAUGGCGAAGGCAGCUUGCUGGGACGGUACUGACGCUGAGGCGCGAAAGCGUGGGGAGCAAACAGG
rnacentral:rRNA from 1 species